GGGUUGUGAGGUUAAGCGACUAAGCGUACACGGUGGAUGCCCUGGCAGUCAGAGGCGAUGAAGGGCGUGCUAAUCUGCGAUAAGCGCCGGUAAGGUGAUAUGAACCGUUAUAACCGGCGAUACCCGAAUGGGGAAACCCAGUGUGACUCGUCACACUAUCAUUAACUGAAUCCAUAGGUUAAUGAGGCGAACCGGGGGAACUGAAACAUCUAAGUACCCCGAGGAAAAGAAAUCAACCGAGAUUCCCCCAGUAGCGGCGAGCGAACGGGGAGGAGCCCAGAGCCUGAAUCAGCAUGUGUGUUAGUGGAAGCGUCUGGAAAGGCGCGCGAUACAGGGUGACAGCCCCGUACACAAAAGUGCAUGUGCUGUGAGCUCGAUGAGUAGGGCGGGACACGUGGUAUCCUGUCUGAAUAUGGGGGGACCAUCCUCCAAGGCUAAAUACUCCUGACUGACCGAUAGUGAACCAGUACCGUGAGGGAAAGGCGAAAAGAACCCCGGCGAGGGGAGUGAAAAAGAACCUGAAACCGUGUACGUACAAGCAGUGGGAGCACCCUUUGGGGUGUGACUGCGUACCUUUUGUAUAAUGGGUCAGCGACUUAUAUUCUGUAGCAAGGUUAACCGAAUAGGGGAGCCGGAGGGAAACCGAGUCUUAAUUGGGCGUUAAGUUGCAGGGUAUAGACCCGAAACCCGGUGAUCUAGCCAUGGGCAGGUUGAAGGUUGGGUAACACUAACUGGAGGACCGAACCGACUAAUGUUGAAAAAUUAGCGGAUGACCUGUGGCUGGGGGUGAAAGGCCAAUCAAACCGGGAGAUAGCUGGUUCUC
rnacentral:rRNA from 1 species